AGCUUGGAACGGAAACGACGCCUGCCAAAUUUGCAGCUUUUAAGCUGGAAAGGUUUAAAUGAAGAUUGGGAAGGAUCUCAAAGCACUGAGAACAGGAGGGGGAAAUGAAGAUGGAGAGAGAAUACAGGAGUCACUGCAUCUGCUAACAUAGGGUUUGUGUUCAUGAUGAGCUUUAAGCUAUGAAGGGGCAGACUUACCAAUAGGUUAUCGUAGAUGUAGCUUAAUUCAAAGUAGGCUAAUUAAGCAAAAAAAAGACGGAAUGGAAAUUUGGUUGUGAGGUUAUGACUGUUGCAUUACCUACAGUUUAAUGUAGUGACAUCAAGGUAAGUCAGUGUACACCCAUAUGUAAUUUCAUACGUUGCGUUGAGACUUUUGAUUCCUGAAACUGAAUCAAAACUACAUUAAACCUACUUGUAGUCUGACUGGAAAGCAUCCACAGGUGAAUUGAAUUGAUACUUCCUUAAAACCAUCUGGAAAUUAUCUGUUUUGUAAUUCAGAGAGAAGCAUAACUGAAAAAACAGGAAGUCUUACUUGCAGAUGAGAUCUAUUUUGAAGAUUACAUUUAUAAAACCAGGUAGGUUGUUUUUUAUGGACACAUUUAUGAAUAAACAGACCAUUCUUGCAACAUUUGUCCAUUUUACAGAAUCAUCAGAAGGUUUGGAAACCAAAGCUUUGUUGUGCUACUGUAUUUUUUUCCCUCCCCCUACAUCAUACAGAAAAUAAGAAUGCUUUUAAAGAGAAAGAAAACACAUUGAAGACUGUAGACCCCGUUCUCCCUGUGCUAUCAGAAGGCUAAUUUGGCUUUGCUCUGCAGGCAGCAGCCCCAUUGCUGUGCUGGUGGGGAGGAUCGUGCUGCUGUCUGAGGUGCUGAAGCCAGAGGGCUGCCUGGGGGUCCUGGAGAUCCCCACAUACCCCACGGUGUGCCUGGUGCCCCUGUUACACAAGUCAAAACUGCACCCACAAUCUUCAGAUGAAAAUCCCAUGCAGUUUUACUUAGGUUAUCUAUCUUUUCUUUUUUAAAAAUGCACCCGAAAUGCAGCAACAAAGCACAGAUCCUUGAAGGCUAUGAAUUCGCUGUUCCAUUGCAGAUGUUACAGUUCUGCUCAGCUACCACAAGAGGGACGUAGAAGGAAAGCUAAGAUAUCCCGGGAGAAAAAAAAAACAAAUAGAAAGAACAGCUUCAUGCAGGUUCAGCUGCACUGUGGCUGUAAAAAAGUAUUCCUGAAGCAAACUGGAUGAGUACUUUAAAGCAAUGGAGGAAAAGGAGGAGAAGAUCUUGACAUUUCUUCAGUGAUCUCAGAUGGAGAAGAUACUUAGAUAUUAAGAGAUUUGAUGUUAAGAGACAUAAACCAGAUUUCAGCAAGCUGUAACUCUUCAAACAAGUCACAGAGCACGACCUUGAAUGGAUUAUUGCAUCUUGCAGUGAAUGAAGCAUAUGGAGAGGAG